rnacentral:lncRNA from 1 species
CCUCACAACGUGAGCUUUCCUUUGUCCAUAGGAGGCGAGCUCCACAUCUUUCUUCUUUUCCCCAAGCCGAAGGGAAGAACCCCUUUCUCCUCUCUUCUCCAGCCAACCUACUCCGUCCUCCCUUCCUUCCCCACUCCUCCCCAGGUGCCUCCUUGCUGCACCACGCCCUUCACCACCUCCAUGGCAGCCCUUUCAAUCUAGGGCUUGAGGAAGAAGAAAAGGAGACAAGGAUAGGAGGAGAACAAGAAAGCUUCCCCAACUUUCCCCUUCACCAAAUCUUUGUCAUUUGACCAUAGAGGUGAUGUUCCCCAUCAUUUAUGAUAUCUCACCCUCUAUUAGUGCUGAUUCAGGGAGUAUAGGGUUAGGAUUAGAAAGCCUAUGUGUUGGAAUUGGGGAGAAGUUGUUCAUGUUGCUGUUUUUGGGCGUUCAGAUUCAGAAAUCAGCAAUUUCGAGUUCCUAUAUGACAAAAUCAGAGGAGGAGCAUCUGGAAUGUUUUGUAGGUGUUGUUCCCACGAUCGUUUUGAGUGGUCAUUCACUCAAUUUGGUUCAGCCGUUUAGCCGUGGCGGUAAAAACAAGUUGCUGGCUGUUUCUGCAAAACAGUAAUUCUCAUAGCUUUUGUCCAUAGUUUUUCAUGAUAUUAGAGGGUUCAUAAAUUGGUGUUAUACAAUGUUAUGGCUACCUGGUACCUUAUAGUUCAUAUAUCAAUUAAAUUUACUUUAUUCCCAUGAGUAUUUUUGUUACUAUGAACUUCCAAAGAUGGCUACUCAAUAUUUCUGAAUAUGAGUACAGCAGAGCAGUUUUUGCUGGUUUUGACCCCGAUAAGCUCAUAGUCCGAGCUUCAAUAGUUGGAGUUAUUUGUAGAUGAGUUCCCAUGAAUCCAUAGGCAUCUUGUUUGCAUGUUUUCGAGCUUCCUAGCUCAAGAUAUGAAUUUUUCCGUGUAGCGGCAGGAAAGGGUUGCUCCAUGGAAAUGCAAUUAGGCGUGUUUUUGUGUGUGCUCUACAUAGCUUGUUUUGGUGCAAUCUUUAAAACUUGUACGUAUGUUUCUGCAGCAGGUUGCAGCACCAAUCCACUGGAGAUAGCCUCGCACCACCUCCCUUGCAAUGGUUGAGGCGAGUACACCGGGCAACAAGAGCUAGAUUGCUCCCUUAAUAUUAUGUUCAUGUUCACAUUAUUCCUUUACAUUCAUGCAAUGGUGAACAUACAACUCCCUAGUGUACAUUUCAAUACACCAUACCACUAGAAUGUGAUAGGGAUUGGUUUUUCUUGGUUCUUGGUAACAAAUCCAUCAUGAGUGAAUCUUCCAAGUUAAAGGAGUGAUCCUCGCUUCGCGGGUGUAUGGUCCUUCGGGUCCAUCCUCAUGUUAUGGUCCUCUCACUUGGUGAGGGCUGAAAAGGAGUGAGGUGAGACGUCGCCCCUCCUUAGCUUGCCGGCAAAAGCUUAGAGCCAAGUCCUCGGUCUUAUUUGGUUGCAUUAUUUCUUCAUGCUUUCUCAUGCCAUUCCAAGCAUGAAAGAUUCAAGUUUAGCAUUCACUUCAAGCAUGGUUCAAUUUCAUGGUCUUACUUGCUUUCUGUCAUGCUUUGUUGUGUAGUUGUCGAGUCUUUGGACUCACCUCUCGUGGGAUUUGUCUCAGGUACAUCACCGUGCGGCUUUGCAAGUACUAGGAAAGGCGUAGCUCCCAUGGGUGUUCACUCACAUUGCACACCCCUUUCAUUCACCUAGCUGGUCAUGAUAAUUCUCAUACUUAGGUUCAUGAUUCCUGGUAGCCAGGAUCUACUUGUUGUGUAUUAACCAUGCCUUGGUUUGUUUCCAUGAUCAAUAUGUUUACCUGUCAAGGUGGGUUGGAGUUGACUAGUCCCCACCCUGCACCGAGGUGUGUUGGAACGUAUGUUUUCUUUGUUAUGUGUAGCAUAACGGUUGGUGGCUUCACCACUGUGCUCUAAAUUGGUUUUAUGAGCUUGUUGGAUGCUUCUGCUUGUGAUAUUAUAAAUAUAUGCUAUGUUUAUUCAACUGCCUGUCGUGGAUGUCCGACGGUACAAAGGAGGUACUGCCGGAUUUUCCAACGAGCAUUGUGUU